UACAGAGGUCCCAAGCGUUGUUCGGAUUUGCUGGGCGUAAAGGGUGCGUAGGCGGUUGUUUAAGUCUGACGUGAAAUCUCCGGGCCUAACCCGGAAACUGCGUUGGAUACUAUUCAGCUAGAGGAAUGGAGGGGAGACUGGAAUACUUGGUGUAGCAGUGAAAUGCGUAGAUAUCAAGUGGAACACCAGUGGCGAAGGCGAGUCUCUGGACAUUUCCUGACGCUGAGGCACGAAAGCCAGGGGAGCAAACGGG
rnacentral:rRNA from 1 species